CUGGAGGUAUCAGAAGUGCGAAUGCUGACAUAAGUAACGAUAAAGCGGGUGAAAAGCCCGCUCGCCGGAAGACCAAGGGUUCCUGUCCAACGUUAAUCGGGGCAGGGUGAGUCGACCCCUAAGGCGAGGCCGAAAGGCGUAGUCGAUGGGAAACAGGUUAAUAUUCCUGUACUUGGUGUUACUGCGAAGGGGGGACGGAGAAGGCUAUGUUGGCCGGGCGACGGUUGUCCCGGUUUAAGCGUGUAGGUGUGUGUUCCAGGUAAAUCCGGUUCACUCUAACACUGAGGCGUGACGACGAGGCACUACGGUGCUGAAGCAACAAAUGCCCUGCUUCCAGGAAAAGCCUCUAAGCAUCAGGUAACAUCAAAUCGUACCCCAAACCGACACAGGUGGUCAGGUAGAGAAUACCAAGGCGCUUGAGAGAACUCGGGUGAAGGAACUAGGCAAAAUGGUGCCGUAACUUCGGGAGAAGGCACGCUGACAU
rnacentral:rRNA from 1 species